rnacentral:rRNA from 1 species
UACGUAGGGGGCAAGCGUUGUCCGGAAUCAUUGGGCGUAAAGAGCGUGUAGGCGGCCCGAUAAGUCCGCUGUGAAAGUCCAGGGCUCAACCCUGGAAUGCCGGUGGAUACUGUCGGGCUCGAAUCCGGAAGAGGUGAGUGGAAUUCCUGGUGUAGCGGUGAAAUGCGCAGAUAUCAGGAGGAACACCGGUGGCGAAGGCGGCUUCCUGGACCGACACUGACGCUGAGGCGCGAAAGCUAGGGGAGCAAACGGG